rnacentral:rRNA from 1 species
AUGAACGCUAGCGACAGGCCUAACACAUGCAAGUCGAGGGGCAGCACAAGGAGCAAUCUGAGGUGGCGACCGGCGCACGGGUGAGUAACACGUAUGCAACCUGCCUGUAAGCGGGGGAUAACCCGUUGAAAGACGGACUAAUACCGCAUAAUACUAAAUUACUGCAUGGUAAUUUAUUUAAACAUUUAUGGCUUACAGAUGGGCAUGCGCAUGAUUAGCUAGUUGGAGAGGUAACGGCUCCCCAAGGCAACGAUCAUUAGGGGUUCUGAGAGGAAGGUCCCCCACACUGGUACUGAGACACGGACCAGACUCCUACGGGAGGCAGCAGUGAGGAAUAUUGGUCAAUGGACGAGAGUCUGAACCAGCCAAGUCGCGUGCAGGAAGAAUGUCCUUAAUGGAUUGUAAACUGCUUUUGCAGGGGAAUAAAGUGCAUCACGUGUGAUGUUUUGUAUGUACUCUGCGAAUAAGGAUCGGCUAACUCCGUGCCAGCCGCUGC